UGGAACCACCUGAUCCCAUCCCGAACUCAGCAGUGAAACGAUGCAUCGCCGAUGGUAGUGUGGGGUUUCCCCAUGUGAGAGUAGGUCAUCGUC
rnacentral:rRNA from 2 species